UCCUGGGGCUGAAGUAGGUCCCAAGGGUUGGGCUGUUCGCCCAUUAAAGCGGUACGCGAGCUGGGUUCAGAACGUCGUGAGACAGUUCGGUCCCUAUCUGUCGCGGGCGCAGGAAGUUUGAGGAGAGCUGUCCUUAGUACGAGAGGACCGGGAUGGACGCACCGCUGGUGCACCAGUUGUUCCGCCAGGAGCACAGCUGGGUAGCUAUGUGCGGACGGGAUAAGCGCUGAAAGCAUCUAAGCGUGAAGCCCCCUCCAAGAUGAGACUUCCCACAGCGUCAAGCUGGUAAGACCCCUCAAAGACGAUGAGGUUGAUAGGUUCGGUGUGGAAGCGCGGCAACGCGUGGAGCUGACGAAUACUAAUCGGUCGAGGACUUAUCCAC
rnacentral:rRNA from 1 species